GGCUGGGUUAUAAACUGGAGUAGGAUCGGCAGUGGUUGCGGCCGACGAAUCCCAGAAGCGUGGCCUUUUGUAUGCCCGAAUUUGGAGUUAACAACGGAGCACCCGCGGACAAAGAUACGUUCUCUCGCAAGGAGCGACGAAGGCAAACCAGACAAGAACAACAAGAGAUACCAAUGGAGACAACAAAAAAAAGCGUUGGCGAUUUUGUUUUCACUCGCUCCACUCUCUGCCUCUCUUUCUCGCCAGCUCCCACUCUCUUUGUCCGGCAACUGUUUUUUUACCUAGAAGUGAAAAAAAGCGCAUGCCCUGUGUUAAUCGCGGGCGGCGGCAAACAAAAAAUAAGAAACAACCGAAAAAAAAAAAUAUCUACAACUCCAGACGAUAUGAAAAAGCGCGCGCGAUGAUUCCUCAUACAGGUAGGCGCAAUAGUGAGCCUACUAGUGUGACGGCCUAUGCUC